CCUGUCACAGUAACUUGUGAUGGAUAGUCAGUACAUUCUGCAUACAGUUAACCUGCCACCCUUUCAUGACACACUGAACAAAAGAUAUCCCUCCGGCUGCAGGUCCAGGAGACCAAGACAGGUCCAGGAGACCAAGACAGCCAAAGGACGACUAGAGGACCACCUGGCAAAGGUUCUAUCAGAGGUGGCCAGCCAGGAGUGGAACCUGGAGGCCCUGCGCGUGGCCAUCGAAGACAAAGCAGGUCCCCUGAAGGUGGCUGACACGGCUGUCCACCCACAGCCAGAGAUACAGCAUCGAGCUCUACCAUGACCCGGUCCAGGUCCGCCUGCUCUCCGAGGUCCAGGAGCUCACUGCACACAUCAAGAGACUACGAGAGGCCCAGGCGGAGGUGCUGGCCCUGACCCGUUCACAGCUGAUCCUGGAAGAGGAGAUCCAGGUCAAGUCCCUUUCUCUCUACAUCGAUGAGGUCAUCUGCACCCAGCUCCACCAGCCCAUCUCCACCAACAGCUUCUGAAUAGCACUCCCACCACGACAAGCCUGGUCCCUGAUCUGUUUGUGCUGACUUGCAUCAACAGAUCUGGGACAAGCCUAGACCAUGGCCACACUGACUUUAUAGUGGGGCUCUUUAGCUUAUGCUGACAUACCCAGGCUAACAUUUUCACUGAUUAAUAAAAUAUGAGGUAUACAUUAUAAUGGAA
rnacentral:lncRNA from 1 species